GAUGCUUUACACAUGCAAGUCGAACGGCAGCGCGAGAGAGCUUGCUCUCUUGGCGGCGAGUGGCGGACGGGUGAGUAAUAUAUCGGAACGUGCCCAGUAGCGGGGGAUAACUACUCGAAAGAGUGGCUAAUACCGCAUACGCCCUACGGGGGAAAGGGGGGGAUCGCAAGACCUCUCACUAUUGGAGCGGCCGAUAUCGGAUUAGCUAGUUGGUGGGGUAAAGGCUCACCAAGGCAACGAUCCGUAGCUGGUUUGAGAGGACGACCAGCCACACUGGGACUGAGACACGGCCCAGACUCCUACGGGAGGCAGCAGUGGGGAAUUUUGGACAAUGGGGGAAACCCUGAUCCAGCCAUCCCGCGUGUAUGAUGAAGGCCUUCGGGUUGUAAAGUACUUUUGGCAGAGAAGAAAAGGUAUCCCCUAAUACGGGAUACUGCUGACGGUAUCUGCAGAAUAAGCACCGGCUAACUACGUGCCAGCAGCCGCGGUAAUACGUAGGGUGCAAGCGUUAAUCGGAAUUACUGGGCGUAAAGCGUGUGUAGGCGG
rnacentral:rRNA from 1 species